rnacentral:snRNA from 1 species
AUGAUGUUGUGUAAUUAAGCAUUAAUAAAAAAAUAUCUGUUCUUAUCAGCUUAAUAUCUGAUACGGGUCCUAUUUGGACCCAAGAUAUUAAACUUAUUUUUGGAAUGGGGCGGAGUGCUUGAAGCUUGCUUCACCUCCGCCACGGGUUGGCCCGGUAUUGCACUGCCUCCGGGAUCGGCCCACUCACC